rnacentral:snRNA from 1 species
UCAUCACAGCUUCACUUCAUAGCGUACCAAUCUUUCGCCUUUUACCAAAGGUUGUCGUGAAUGAGACGCAUCAAUAUGUUUUCAUACCGAA